GAGAAUGUCGCUCAGUGGUAGAGUAUUUGCCUGGCCUGCAUAAACCCCUGGGUUUGAUUCCCAGCCUCA
rfam:Ictidomys tridecemlineatus contig058796, whole genome shotgun sequence.